AUAUAUUAGUAUUAAUAUAUGUUUAGAACCUGUUUUGAGACUUUAAACUUGAAAGUUUGAUUCUGUCUUAGAAAUUUUUUAUAUGAAUUAAUUAUAUGUAUUUUUUAUAAUUUAAAUUUAAACAGUAAAUAAUAUUGAUUUUUAUUUUAGUAAAUAUUCAGAUAUUUAUUUUAAGCUAGGUUAAUUUUGUGCCAGCAUUCGCGGUUAUACAAAUUUAGUUUAAUUUAUUUUUUUAAUAGAAUCUAGUUUUUUUAUUUGAUUUUAUUUAAAGUUUAUUUAGGUGAAAUUUAUAUAUUUAGUAUGAAUCUUAUUAAUAUUAUUAUAAAUAUUAAUUUUAAAUUAGGAUUAGAUACCCUUUUAUUUUUUGUUUAAAUUUAAUUAUGAAUAUUAAUAGGUAUGUUCUAUAAAACUCAAAGAAUUUGGCGGUGACUAAUCUUUUCAGGGGAAUCUGUUUAUUAAUUGAUAAACCACGUUAGCUUAUACUUAAAUUUGGCUUGUAUAUCGCUAUAAUGAAUAAUCUUUAAGGGGUUUUCUGUUUUAAUUAUUUAAUUUAUAUUAGGUCAAGGUGCAGUUUUAUUUAAGUUUAAAUGGAUUACUUUAACUAUAAUUUGUUUUGGAUAUUAAAGUUUAAUUUUGUUUUGAAAUAGGAUUUGAUAGUAAUUUUAUUUAAUUAUUUAAUAUGAAUUAAGCUAUAAGUCAUGUACAUAUUGCCCGUCACUCCAAGCUUAUUGGAUAAGUCGUAACAAAGUAAUUUUACUGGAAGGUGAGGUUAGAUUAUU
rnacentral:ncRNA from 1 species